rnacentral:rRNA from 1 species
GAGGUACCGGGGCCGUAACGGCCUCGACCUAUUCUCGAACUCCGAACGGGGCAAGGAGCCGGGGGUCGCCCGAUCGGACCCCGGACGUGAAGUCGACUAUGGUCGGUGGGCUGGUUUUGGUAAGCAGAACGGGCGAUUCGGGAUGAACCGGAAGCGGGGAGAAAGGGCCCGAGAUUGCGUCGACGCGGAUCCCGAAAAGGGCGUCGAUCCGUCGCGACAGCGGGACGGUGGUCAUGGAAGUCGAAAUCCGCUAAGAAGCGUGUAAAAACGUACCCGCCCAACGGAUCGGCCCCGAAAAUUGAUGGCGCUCGAACGCAACCCUCGAACCCCGCCGACGGAGGCUAGGGGAGGCCCCGUCGAGUAGGCGGACGCGCGGGUCGCUUCGACGCUCCCGCGCGAGCGGGGGCGGAGCGGCCCGUGGUGCAGAUCUUGGUGGUAGUAGCGAUCACCCAGGCGAGAACCCUGAGGGCCGAAGUGGAGAAGGGGUUUCUCGAGAACGGCACUCGCUCGAGAGUUAGUCGAUCCUAAGCUGCCGGCGGCAGCCACGAAACGGUCGAUCGGGCGCGAGCCCGGCA